rnacentral:rRNA from 1 species
GACGAACCGUACGAACGUUAUUCGGAAUCACUGGGCUUAAAGGGUGCGUAGGCUGCGCAGCAAGUUGGGUGUGAAAUCCCUCGGCUUAACCGAGGAACUGCGCCCAAAACUGCUGUGCUCGAGGGAGACAGAGGUGAGCGGAACUUAGGGUGGAGCGGUGAAAUGCGUUGAUAUCCUAAGGAACACCGGUGGCGAAAGCGGCUCACUGGGUCUAUUCUGACGCUGAGGCACGAAAGCUAGGGGAGCGAACGGG